UACGAAGGGGGCUAGCGUUGUUCGGAAUUACUGGGCGUAAAGGGCGCGCAGGCGGCUCUUCAAGUCAGAUGUGAAAGCCCCGGGCUCAACCUGGGAACUGCAUUUGAGACUGGAGAGCUCGAGUUCGGGAGAGGAGAGCGGAAUUCCCAGUGUAGAGGUGAAAUGCGUAGAUAUCUGGAGGAACACCGGUGGCGAAGGCGGCAUCCUGGACCGAUAUUGACGCUGAGGCGCGAAAGCCAGGGGAGCAAACGGG
rnacentral:rRNA from 1 species